rnacentral:rRNA from 1 species
CAGCUAGUUGGCGGGGUAAUGGCCCACCAAGGCGACGAUCCGUAGCUGGUCUGAGAGGAUGAUCAGCCACACUGGAACUGAGACACGGUCCAGACUCCUACGGGAGGCAGCAGUGGGGAAUAUUGGACAAUGGGCGCAAGCCUGAUCCAGCCAUGCCGCGUGGGUGAAGAAGGCCUUCGGGUUGUAAAGCCCUUUUGUUCGGGAAGAAAUCGUACGGGUGAAUAUCCCGUGCGGAUGACGGUACCGGAAGAAUAAGCACCGGCUAACUUCGUGCCAGCAGCCGCGGUAAUACGAAGGGUGCAAGCGUUACUCUGAAUUACUGGGCGUAAAGCCUGCGUAGGGCG